rnacentral:rRNA from 1 species
AUUGAACGCUAGCGGGAUGCCUUACACAUGCAAGUCGAACGGAGUGGCGAACGGGUGAGUAAUGUAUCGGAACGUGCCCAGUAGCGGGGGAUAACUACGCGAAAGCGUAGAUAAUACCGCAUACUCAUGGAGCGGUCGAUAUCGGAUUAGCUAGUUGGUGGGGUAACGGCUCACCAAGGCGACGAUCCUUAGCUGGCUUGAGAGGACGACCAGCCACACUGGGACUGAGACACGGCCCAGACUCCUACGGGAGGCAGCAGUGGGGAAUGUUGGACAAUGGGGGAAACUCUGAUCCAGCCAUCCCGCGUGUGUGAUGAAGGCUUUCGGGUUGUAAAGCUCUUUUGGUAGGAAAGCGGUAUCUGCAGAAUAAGCAACGGCUAACUACGUGCCAGCAGCCGCGGUAAUUC